rnacentral:rRNA from 1 species
UAAAGUAAGAAAGAGCGUAUGGCGGAUGCCUAGGCACAGAGAGGCGAAGAAGGACGCAGCAAACAGCGAAAUGCGACGGUUAGCAGUAAGCAUGCAACGAUCCGUCGAUGUCCGAAUGGGGGAACCCACCUGGAGUAGAGACCAGGUAUCCUGAAGUGAAUAAAUAGCUUCAGAGAGGCGAGACUCAGGGAACUGAAACAUCUAAGUACCUGAAGGAAGAGAAAAUAAACGAAUGAUUCCCUAAGUAGCGGCGAGCGAAAGGGGAAGAGCCCAAACCGAUCUUAGGAUCGGGGUUGUAGGACUGUCGGCAAAGAGCAAGAAAUCAUUAUAGGCGAACGGAAUGGGAAGUCCGGCGAAACAGGGUGACAGCCCCGUAGCCGAAAUAGUGAAGAAGCACGAGACAGCACCUGAGUACGGCGGGACACGAGGAAUCCUGUCGGAAUCCACCAGGACCAUCUGGUAAGGCUAAAUACUCCUCUGUGACCGAUAGUGAACCAGUACCGUGAGGGAAAGGUGAAAAGAACCCCGGGAGGGGAGUGAAAUAGAACCUGAAACCAUAUGCUUACAAGAAGUUAGAGCCCGUUAAAGGGUGAUAGCGUGCCUUUUGUAGAAUGAACCGGCGAGUUACGAUAUGGAGCGAGGUUAAGCAGGAUAUGCGGAGCCGAAGCGAAAGCGAGUCUUAACAGGGCGAAAGUUGCAUGUCGUAGACCCGAAACCGAGUGAUCUAGCCAUGACCAGGUUGAAGUUGGGGUAAAACCCGAUGGAGGACCGAACCGACCCCCGUUGAAACGUUGGCGGAUGAGUUGUGGCUAGGGGUGAAAUUCCAAUCGAACUCGGAGAUAGCUGGUUCUCCCCGAAAUAGCUUUAGGGCUAGCGUCGAGGUAAAGUCGUGUGAAGGUAGAGCACUGAAUAUGUGAUGGCCCCAUCUCGGGGUACUGAACAUAAUCAAACUCCGAAUGUCACAAAGAUAUACUCGGCAGUCAGACAGUGGGUGAUAAGGUCCAUUGUCAAAAGGGAAACAGCCCAGACCAUCAGCUAAGGUCCCAAAAUAUAUACUAAGUGGAAAAGGAUGUGGAGAUGUCCAGACAACUAGGAGGUUGGCUCAGAAGCAGCCAUCCUUUAAAGAGUGCGUAACAGCUCACUAGUCGAAUGACUCUGCGCCGAUAAUUUACCGGGGCUAAGUAUAUUACCGAAGCUAUGGAUUUACGCGUAAGCGUGAGUGGUAGGGGAGCGUUCUAUGUGCGGAGAAGCGGUACCGUAAGGAGCCGUGGAGCGCAUAGAAGAGAGAAUGCCGGUGUGAGUAGCGAAACGUGGGUGAGAAUCCCACGCACCGAAAACCCAAGGUUUCCAGAGGAAGGUUCGUCCGCUCUGGGUAAGUCGGGACCUAAGGCGAGGCCGAGAGGCGUAGUCGAUGGACAACAGGUAGAGAUUCCUGUACUUACGGUAUGAAUGAUGGAGUGACGGAGAAGGCUAGCGGAUCCUGCUGAUGGAAAUGCAGGUGCAAGCGAGGUAGCCGACAGCCAGGCAAAUCCGGCUGUCGAAAGGCAAAGGCGUGAGGCGUAUGGAAAGCUGCGGCAAGUACAGAAGUCCGUGAAGCCAGCUUCCAAGAAAAGCUUCUAGUGAUAAUCAUACAGUAACCCGUACCGAAAAUGGACACACAUGGGUGAGGAGAGAAUCCUAAGGUGAGCGAGAGAACUAUAGCUAAGGAACUCUGCAAAAUGACUCCGUAACUUAGGGAUAAGGAGUGCUCAUAGAGAUAUGAGCCGCAGUGAAACGGCCCAAGCGACUGUUUACCAAAAACACAGCUCUAUGCUAAGUCGAAAGACGACGUAUAUGGGGUGACGCCUGCCCGGUGCUGGAAGGUUAAGAGGAUGUGUCAGCGCAAGCGAAGCAUUGAAUUGAAGCCCCAGUAAACGGCGGCCGUAACUAUAACGGUCCUAAGGUAGCGAAAUUCCUUGUCAGGUAAGUUCUGACCCGCACGAAAGGCGUAACGAUUUGGGCGCUGUCUCAGCUGUAGACUCGGUGAAGUCUUAGUACCUGUGAAGAUGCAGGUUACCCGCGACUAGACGGAAAGACCCCAUGGAGCUUUACUGUAGCUUGAUAUUGGACUUUGAUGCAAGAUGUACAGGAUAGGUAGGAGACUGAGAGACAUGCACGCCAGUGUGUGAGGAGUCAAUGUUGGGAUACUACUCUUCUUGUAUUGGAGUUCUAACCGGAUGCCAUGGAACUGGCAACGGGACAGUGUCAGGUGGGCAGUUUGACUGGGGCGGUCGCCUCCCAAAGAGUAACGGAG